GACAGAGGAGCCAAGCGUUGUCCGGAUUGACUGGGCGUAAAGCGCACGCAGGCGGAACGGCGCGUGGGGUGUGAAAGCUGGCGGCUUAACUGCCAGUCGCCAUCCCAUACGGCCAUUCUGGAGCCUUGCAGAGGGCAGUGGAAUUGCCGGUGUAGUGGUGAAAUGCGUAGAGAUCCGGAGGAACCCCAGAGGCGAAGGCGGCAGCCUGGUUCGUACCUGACGCUCGGACACGACAGCAUGGGGAGCGAACAGG
rnacentral:rRNA from 1 species